UGCGAAGAGGGUUCCGGUGGUGCCCUGGCGGCCAUCGCUGGAGGCCGCGGUUGCUAUGGGAGACCUGGCGCCCGGCCUGGGAGCGACAGGAAGGCGAGCUGUGGCCGCGACGCCUUCCGAGAAAGCAGGUCGCUCUCGGAACGGACGUUUGUGUGUGGUUUCUGUGGAAGAUCCGCUCCGCGGCGGCGUGGGAGGAGCAGGGCCUGGAGGGGUUGCGGCCAAACGCGGGCUUCGGUGUUGGGACACGGACAACGCUGGCGUCCGGGCGCUGCUGGGCAGCGGGGUCCGGGGAUGACGUCUGGGGCUGCCCGUGCCCACUUUUCCAGAUUGCUCUGAAUGUCCUAGUGAGCUGCUCCCGUUGGGUAGGCUCCUGCGCCUCAACCGCGCUCGGAAAAUAGGGACUCAAGGCCGGUGCGGUGGCUCACCCCUCUAAUCCCAGCACUUUGGGGGACAGAGACCGGAAGAGCGAUUAAGCCCAGGAGUUCGAGACCAGCCUGGGCAACAAAGUGAGAUCCCCGUCUCUACAAAAAUAAAAAUUAAAAAAGUAGCCGGGCGUGGUGGCGCGCACCUGCAGUUCCA
rnacentral:lncRNA from 1 species